rnacentral:rRNA from 1 species
AUUGAACGCUGGCGGCAGGCCUAACACAUGCAAGUCGGACGGUAGCACAGAGGAGCUUGCUCCUCGGGUGACGAGUGGCGGACGGGUGAGUAAUGUCUGGGGAUCUGCCCGAUAGAGGGGGAUAACCACUGGAAACGGUGGCUAAUACCGCAUAACGUCGCAAGACCAAAGAGGGGGACCUUCGGGCCUCUCACUAUCGGAUGAACCCAGAUGGGAUUAGCUAGUAGGCGGGGUAAUGGCCCACCUAGGCGACGAUCCCUAGCUGGUCUGAGGGGAGGACCAGCCAGACUGGAACGGAGACACGGGCCAGACUCCUACGGGAGGCAGCAGUGGGGAAUAUUGCACAAUGGGCGGAAGCCUGAUGCAGCCAUGCCGCGUGUAUGAAGAAGGCCUUCGGGUUGUAAAGUACUUUCAGCGGGGAGGAAGGCGAUAAGGUUAAUAACCUUGUCGAUUGACGUUACCCGCAGAAGAAGCACCGGCUAACUCCGUGCCAGCAGCCGCAGUAA